AACGAACGCUGGCGGCAGGCCUAACACAUGCAAGUCGAACGCCCCGCAAGAGGAGUGGCGCACGGGUGAGUAACGCGUGGGAAUAUGCCCUUCGGUUCGGAAUAACACAGGGAAACUUGUGCUAAUACCGGAUACGAUCUACGGAUGAAAGAUUUAUCGCCGAGGGAGUAGCCCGCGUAGGAUUAGCUAGUUGGUGAGGUAAUGGCUAACCAAGGCGACGAUCCUUAGCUGGUCUGAGAGGAUGAUCAGCCACACUGGGACUGAGACACGGCCCAGACUCCUACGGGAGGCAGCAGUGGGGAAUAUUGGACAAUGGGCGAAAGCCUGAUCCAGCCAUGCCGCGUGAGUGAUGAAGGCCUUAGGGUUGUAAAGCUCUUUCGCCAGGGAAGAUAAUGACGGUACCUGGAGAAGAAGCCUCGGCUAACUCCGUGCCAGCCGCCGCCGUAA
rnacentral:rRNA from 1 species